UGCUUUUAGCUUUCCAACACAUUCUUCUUUUAAUCUGAUCAAUAGAUAAAUGAACUGCCCUGAGAGAUAGAUAUUUUAAAAUGGAAUCUUUUAUAAAUUAAGGUAUGGGGUUUUUUUUCAGUAGAUUCAGCUAAGCAGCUGAAUUAUUAAUUGCACCUGGAGUUUCAGGUGCUCAGCAAUUGGUCCUUACUCUCCACCAGCUUUCAAAUGAUAUAUGUGCUUUCAAUUAGAGCCUUUACAUCCUUUGCACUGGCAGGAUUCACAUUCUCCACUGUAGGAUAAGGCACAUUUCAUGCACUCACACCAUUUCCUCUCCUUGCUUGCUUAACUCACAUGCCUCAAAUCUGAGAUCUGCACAGAGACAAGAGGCAAAAAAUCUAGAAUUGCCUAGCAGUAAUCUCCUUAAACCAUAUACUGGGCUAGGUGUUUUUAUAUGAGAGGAAGGGAACCUAAGGCAAGCUUUUAUAAAGCAAACAUUGCAAUCCUUUCCCUUUCCUCCUCUGUGGUGUGCAGUAUUCCUGUAAGAGAAAUGUUUCUAGGGGAACAUUUGGAAGGGCCUUGGAAAAGGAAAAGAAUUACAGACCAUGAGAAGAUGGGAAAAAAGGAGUGACAUCAUCUAGAUUGGAGCCCUGGUACAGCAGAAGUACUUUUGCAGUCAGUUGCUCCUCAUGACUUUGUAUUCUUGGGAAUUAAGGAAGAAAAGGGGGAAGCUAACUGCUUCAUGCAUGCUUGGGAGAGGAAGAAAAAAGUCUGAAAAUACUACAGCAUCUAGGAGAAAUUAUGGACCAGUUAUCUGGUCCAACAGUUUCAAACUUCAGGUGCUAAUCAAGGAAAUGCAGAAUUCUGAUAUUUGCCAAGGCCAAGGUAUGGCUCAACCAGGUGAUGUCAUCCUACACUUCUGA
ensembl:lncRNA